rnacentral:ribozyme from 1 species
GCUUCUUCUUUUUCUUUUCCUUUUUCUUUUCCUUUUUUUUUUCCUUGGCCGUUUCUUCUCUUUCC